rnacentral:rRNA from 1 species
UACGAAGGGUGCAAGCGUUACUCGGAAUUACUGGGCGUAAAGCGUGCGUAGGUGGUUCGUUAAGCCUGAUGUGAAAGCCCUGGGCUCAACCUGGGAAUUGCAUUGGAUACUGGCGGGCUAGAGUACGGUAGAGGGUGGCGGAAUUCCUGGUGUAGCAGUGAAAUGCGUAGAUAUCAGGAGGAACAUCCGUGGCGAAGGCGGCCACCUGGACCAGUACUGACACUGAGGCACGAAAGCGUGGGGAGCAAACAGG